GCCUAGGUGCUGCAAAUGGUUAACGGACUUGGCUGCUAACCAAAAGGUUGGGGGUUUGAGUCCACCCAGAGGCA
rnacentral:tRNA from 1 species